CAGCCCCGCGGGAAUACGGAGGGCGCGAGCGUUACCCGGAUUUACUGGGCGUAAAGGGCGUGUAGGCGGCCUGGGGCGUCCCAUGUGAAAGGCCACGGCUCAACCGUGGAGGAGCGUGGGAUACGCUCAGGCUAGAGGGUGGGAGAGGGUGGUGGAAUUCCCGGAGUAGCGGUGAAAUGCGCAGAUACCGGGAGGAACGCCGAUGGCGAAGGCAGCCACCUGGUCCACUUCUGACGCUGAGGCGCGAAAGCGUGGGGAGCAAACCGGAUUAGAUACCCGAGUAGUCCCUGUCUCUUAUACC
rnacentral:rRNA from 1 species